rnacentral:tRNA from 26 species
GCGCCCAUCGUCUAGCGGUUAGGACAUCGCCCUUUCACGGCGGUAACGGGGGUUCGAUUCCCCCUGGGCGUGCCA